UAACGCGUGAGGAACCUGCCUUGGAGUGGGGAAUAACACACCGAAAGGGUGUGCUAAUACCGCAUAAAGCAGUGGAGAGGCAUCUCUCUACUGCCAAAGAUUUAUCGCUCUGAGAUGGCCUCGCGUCUGAUUAGCUAGUUGGUGGGGUAACGGCCUACCAAGGCGACGAUCAGUAGCCGGACUGAGAGGUUGACCGGCCACAUUGGGACUGAGACACGGCCCAGACUCCUACGGAAGGCAGCAG
rnacentral:rRNA from 1 species